GACGGUCCUGGACCAACAACUCUUUAACCAAUCACAGCCUUGUGAUGUCAUCAAUGUGAGUCUUCUGCUUCUCCCAUUGCCAUUUUGAAAUUUCCCUCCAGAAACAACCAGUGGAUCACCAACUUGUAUCUCAAUAAAGGUCCAUCAUAGGGAAGUUUGUCCAGGUCCAUCACAGUGAAGCUGGUUCAGGUCCAUCAGAAGGAAGCUGGUCCAGGCCCAUCACAGUGAAGCUGGUCCAGGUCAAUCACAGGGAAGUUGGUCCAGGUCAAUCGCAGGGAUGUUGGUCCAGGCUCAUCAUAAGAAAGUUGGUCCAGGUCCAUCACAGGGAAGCUGGCCCAGGUCCAUCAUAAGAAAUAGCA